UGCGCAGGCGGGUUUGUAAGUCAGUGGUGAAAUCCUGCCGCUUAACGGUAGAAUUGCCAUUGAUACUGCGAAUCUUGAGUAUGGUUGAGGUAGGCGGAAUGUGUAGUGUAGCGGUGAAAUGCAUAGAUAUUACACAGAACUCCGAUUGCGAAGGCAGCUUACUAAGCCAUAACUGACGCUGAGGCACGAAAGCGUGGGGAGCGAACAGGAUUAGAUACCCUGGUAGUC
rnacentral:rRNA from 1 species